rnacentral:misc_RNA from 1 species
GCAAACUUGGUCAUUUAGAGGAAGUAAAAGUCGUAACAAGGUUUCCGUAGGUGAACCUGCGGAAGGAUCAUUAACAAAUCCAUUACCACUACUAUACCUGUGCGAAUGUUCGCGUCGCCGGCGGUUACGUCGGCGACUGCAUAUACACAUACACUCGAUUGUCGGAUGUAACACCACAUCAAAUGGUCAACAACAUAUGAGACAGGCAAUCUUGGUCAUUUAGAGGAAGUAAAAGUCGUAACAAGGUUUCCGUAGGUGAACCUGCGGAAGGAUCAUUAACAAAUCCAUUACCACUACUAUACCUGUGCGAAUGUUCGCGUCGCCGGCGGUUACGUCGGCGACUGCAUAUACACAUACACUCGAUUGUCGGAUGUAACACCACAUCAAAUGGUCAACAACUUUUAACAAUGGAUCUCUUGGCUCUUGCAUCGAUGAAGAACGCAGC